rnacentral:rRNA from 1 species
GACGAACGCUGGCGGCGUGCUUAACACAUGCAAGUCGAACGAAGAGCGAUGGAAUCUUGCUUCUAUCACUCUUAGUGGCGAACGGGUGAGUAACGCGUAAUCAACCUGCCCUUCAGAGGGGGACAACAGUUGGAGACGACUGCUAAUACCGCAUACGAUCUAACCUCGGCAUCGAGGAUAGAUGAAAGGUGGCCUCUACAUGUAAGCUCUCACUGAAGGAGGGGAUUGCGUCUGAUUAGCUAGUUGGAGGGGUAACGGCCCACCAAGGCGAUGAUCAGUAGCCGGUCUGAGAGGAUGAACGGCCACAUUGGGACUGAGACACGGCCCAGACUCCUACGGGAGGCAGCAGUGGGGAAUCUUCCGCAAUGGACGAAAGUCUGACGGAGCAACGCCGCGUGAGUGAUGACGGCCUUCGGGUUGUAAAGCUCUGUUAAUCGGGACGAAAGGCCUUCUUGCGAAUAGUGAGAAGGAUUGACGGUACCGGAAUAGAAAGCCACGGCUAACUACGUG